rnacentral:rRNA from 1 species
UACGUAGGGCGCAAGCGUUAUCCGGAAUUAUUGGGCGUAAAGAGCUCGUAGGCGGUUUGUCGCGUCUGCCGUGAAAGUCCGGGGGCUCAACUCCGGAUCUGCGGUGGGUACGGGCAGACUAGAGUGAUGUAGGGGAGACUGGAAUUCCUGGUGUAGCGGUGAAAUGCGCAGAUAUCAGGAGGAACACCGAUGGCGAAGGCAGGUCUCUGGGCAUUAACUGACGCUGAGGAGCGAAAAGCAUGGGGGAGCGAACAGG